GGUGGCGGCGGUGGAGGCUGAGGCGGCGGCUGAGGUGGCGACGGAAGAAACAGAAGAUGGCAGAUUUUUUGAAAGGACUGCCUGUCUACAACAAAAUCAAUGUUUGUCUAUUUCACGCGGACCCCGAUGCAAAACCUUGAACCGACGGCCCUCAGUCUACCUGCCCACCCGAGAAUACCCGUCUGAACAGAUCAUCGUGACCGAAAAGGCAAACAUCCUCCUGUGCUACCUGCAUCAGCAAUGGAUAAAAAGAACGCUGCCAAUAAGAGAGACCAGGAGCAAGGGGAACUGGAAGGCGAGAGUUCGGCGCCCCUCCGCAAGGUGGCGCGGAUCGACAGCUCAAACAUGCAGGAGGACACUACCCCACAGGCGUCUCCUGCCGGGUCUGCUCCUCGGUCGCUCGGUCGCUCACCCGCCUGCCUCCCGGCCUGCGCAUUCACAGCCUGCGUCCACACCAUUUCCAACCUCAUAGGAGCCGACGUAUUUAUUUUUCUUGAGUUUUUAUUUAUGCUGUAA